GGUAGGGGUGAUCCAACUGUCGGUAAAAAGUCCCGAGAUUUUUUGCUGAGGAAAGUCCGCCCACCGCUAAAGGCAACGCUUGUGAGAGCGCCCAGGAAACUGGUGGCAACCACGUCAGAAACGCCACGGUCCGCAGUCGUCAUGAUGUUCGCGAAUUGUUCAGCGAUGAACAAGAGAACCAACUGAACUUGUCUGCGGAAUUCGUUGAAACGGUGAGUCCUUGCUGGUGCAAGUCGUUACGACGCUCAGUCCAAUGUUGGAACAAUCCGUCCGGUGAGGGGAUUGACAGAAGGCGGCUUAGUAACCCCUACC
rnacentral:RNase_P_RNA from 1 species